UACCCGCAGCACAAGUGGUGGUCAUUAUUAUUGGGCCUAAAGCGUCCGUAGCUGGCCUGUUAGAUGCCUGGGUAAAUCGGUGCGCUCAACGCACCGAACUCCGGGUAGACCGGCAGGCUCGAGACCGGGAGAGGCAUGGGCUACUCGCGGGGUAGGGGUAAAAUCCUGUAAUCCUGCGGGGAGGACCAGUGGCGAAGGCGCUACACUAGAACGGCUCUGACAGUGAGGGACGAAGCCCUGGGGCGCAAACCGG
rnacentral:rRNA from 1 species